rnacentral:rRNA from 1 species
AUUGAACGCUGGCGGCAUGCCUUACACAUGCAAGUCGAACGGCAGCGGGCCUUCGGGUGCCGGCGAGUGGCGAACGGGGUGAGUAAUGCAUCGGAACGUGCCAUUGAGUGGGGGGAUAACGUAGCGAAAGUUACGCUAAUACCGCAUAUUCUGUGAGCAGGAAAGCAGGGGACCGCAAGGCCUUGCGCUCUUUGAGCGGCCGAUGUCAGAUUAGCUAGUUGGUGAGGUAAAGGCUUACCAAGGCGACGAUCUGUAGCGGGUCUGAGAGGAUGAUCCGCCACACUGGAACUGAGACACGGGUCCAGACUCCUACGGAGGCAGCAGUGGGGAAUUUUGGACAAUGGGCGCAAGCCUGAUCCAGCCAUGCCGCGU